UGCGGAGGGUGCAAGCGUUGUCCGGAAUCACUGGGCGUAAAGGGCGCGUAGGCGGCUCAUGAAGGCUGUGGUGAAAGUCCGGGGCUCAACCUCGGAUCGGCCGUGGCGACUCGUGGGCUGGAGCACUGUAGAGGCGGGUGGAAUUCCGGGUGUAGCGGUGGAAUGCGUAGAGAUCCGGAAGAACACCAGUGGCGAAGGCGGCCCGCUGGGCAGUGGCUGACGCUGAGGCGCGAAAGCGUGGGGAGCGAACCGG
rnacentral:rRNA from 1 species